rnacentral:tRNA from 4 species
UCGGGGUGUGGCUCAGCUUGGCUAGAGCGCCUGGUUUGGGACCAGGAGGUCGCAGGUUCGAAUCCUGUCACCCCGAUC